rnacentral:rRNA from 1 species
CCUACGGGAGGCAGCAGUGGGGAAUAUUGCACAAUGAGGGAAACCCUGAUGCAGCGACGCCGCGUGCGCGCUGAAGUUUUUCGGUAUGUAAAGCUCUAUCAGCAGGGAAGAACAUUACGAUACCUGACUAAGCACCCCCGGCUAACUACGUGCCAGCAGCCGCGGUCAUACGUAGGGGGCAAGCGGUAUCCGGAUUUACUGUGUGUAAAGGGAGCGUAGACGGUCCUGCAAGCCAGAUGUGAAAGCCCGGGGCACAACCCCGGGACUGCAUUUGGAACUGGAAGGCUAGAGUGUGGGAGAGGUAGGCGGAAUUCCUAGUGUAGCGGUGAAAUGCGUAGAUAUUAGGAGGAACACCAGUGGCGAAGGCGGCCUGCUGGACGAUGACUGACGUUGAGGCUCGAAAGCGUGGGGAGCAAACAGGAUUAGAUACCCGGGUAGUC